rnacentral:lncRNA from 1 species
GAUAGUAGUUUUGAAAAUUAAUUCUUACUUUAAAAGAAAUAAUCAUAUCAUUUUCAAACACGAUUUCAUUAAACCAUAAGCCAGAAACCAGUAAUAAAUCAUUAAACAUUUAAAUCAGAUUACUAACCAUGGAAAUCAUAUCACAAUAUCAUAUAGACUUCACAAAUAUGAAAAUCAUCACCAAAAAAGUACCCAGGGAAAUAAUCUCAUCAUAUCCGGACCUCAAUGGACGGGCAAUUAUGUACUAUCUCGGUACCGUCACGCCCCAGAGCUACACGGAUAGACAGGGAAAUAUCAUCUCAUAUCUCAUCAUAUCUGUGCAUGCAUAAUCUAGUUCCCAAGGGACAAAAGCCCCCAAGCACACGACCCAAAGCCUCUGUGUGUACUUAGACGGGCCCCAAAGGCCUGUAUCUCAUAUCUGUAUCUCUGUAAUUAUCACACCGCAUGCAUAUGCCCCCAAAAGGCAAAAGCGUCCAAACACACAGCCCAAAACCUCUAUGUGUGUUCAGACGCGCCCCAAAGGUCUCUCAUCUCAUCUGUAUCACAUGUAUCUGGAGGGAAGGGUACUGUCUAAUGAUUUAAAAAACAAUCACUAUACUCAUAUUCACAUACCUUUUAACCAUAUUUUAAAUCAUACCACAUUUGAAUCCACUUUUCUUGUCUUUAAAAUACUAUCAUGCUUAUUCAAAGUCGAUACGCAAAAUCAUUAAUAAAACAUUUUAAUAAAUACCAAUGCGUGAAUAAAAUCCAUUUCGAGGAAAUCAUUAAAUCAGAACAUUUAAAAUACUUAUUUCGCAAACAUGCUUUACUAUUAUCGGUAACUAUGAAAAUAAGUUUUGUAUAUUCCACUCACAGUGACGGUGUUCACGGUCGGUUAUCGUCCACGUCCGCGGACCGGUUCUCGCUCGCGGAUCCUCCUAAAUCAAGGAAACGACAUAAUUAUUUUCCGUAAAUCGGAAUUAUGACUAAAUUUUAUGCAAUAAACUCGAAACGAACAUCUAUCCAUAAUUGACAACUCCCGUGUCCAUAAAGUUACUAAAAUGCCCUUGAGUCCGUAGAUCAUUAACAUGCUCUGAAAUUGUAAAUCACUGAAUUACCCUCGGAAUCGUAAUUACACCCAAUCCUCAAUUCUAGGAAUUACUAAAAUAUCCACAGGCUCAGAAAUUAUAAAAUUGCCCUCAUAGUGUGAAAUUACCAAAAUGCCCAUUGACGGUCAAUGGUCACCGGAAUUUGGUCAACACUCGCUAGGAAGCUCAAAUUUUAAAGUUCCAAUCACGUUGAGUUCAUUGGUACCGACGGUGAGCUCUAACGCGUGGCAACGAUGCCGGAAUCUAGCUCGGCAGCUGUGAAUUCCAACAAUCGACCGACGGCAAAACAGUGACUCUCGGUGCCUAUGGAUGGUCGAAAAGGGAAGAGGGAGUCGUGGGGAACAAAAUCCAACCGGUGGUGUCACCCAAAACCGGCGAAAAUCCUGGCGGAGUAAAGUGAAACAGUCGCGGGCUUCAAGCUUCGAUCGCCGGUGUUCCGGUUGGUUUUCGGUGACGAGGAUAGCAAGGGAACAACGGCCGGCUUCUAAGCUUCAGAUUGGUACUAAACACGGCCGAAACGGUGGCCGGAAAUGGGAGAUAUGGUCGGGUUAACGUCACGGGUUCCGGGUCAGGUUUUCGGGUCUGUAGUUGGGUCGGUUUGGCAGCUCCGCUCUCACUCUCUGUUACACGUGCAUAUGUUUCCUCUGUUUCUAGCUUAUUCUUUUGUUUUUACUAACUUCUUAACCGCCUCAUACUUAUUUAUUUUUAAUUCUCAUAUGUUACAAUCCUCCCCCCUUAUAAAAAUUUCGUCCUUGAAAUUUACGUACCUGAUAAGAAAAUAUAGGGAUACUGAGCUCGCAUUAAGUCCUCGCGGUCCUAGGUAGCCUCUUCCUUUGUAUGAUUCCUCCACCGUACUUUUACUAGAGGAAUGGUCUUAGAACGCAGAACUUGGUGUUUCUCUUCUAGUAUCUCCACUGGUUCCUCUUCGUAAGUCAAAUCUGCCUUAAAUUGAAUUGGUUGCUUCGAUAACACAUGAUUCGGGUCAUAUAUGUACUUCCGGAGCAUUGAGACAUGAAACACAUCGUGGAUUUUGGAUAACUCGGGUGGCAAAGUUAAUCGAUAACCUAACGGACCGAUGCGCUCAAUGAUCUCAUAUGGCCCAAUGUAACGUGGACUUAACUUCCCACGUUUCCCAAAUCGAAGCACCCAUUUCCAAGGAGAUAUCCGUAUGAAACCUCUAUCACCAACUUCAAAUUCAAGUUCCCGCCUACGCUUGUCUGCAUAGCUCUUCUGUCUAUCUUGGGCCACCUUUAAUCUAUCCCGAAUCAAUUGUAUCUUCUCGUUCGUAUCCUGGACUAGUUCUGGACCGAAUAACCUCCGCUCACCAACCUCAUCCCAACAUACUGGAGUCCUGCAUUUUCGACCAUACAAAGCCUCAUAUGGUGCCAUCUCGAUAUUAGCUUGAUAGAUGUUGUUGUAAGCAAACUCCAUCAUAGGUAAAUAAUCGUCCCAAUUACCUUUAAACUCCAUAACACAAGCUCGCAACAUAUCCUCCAGAGUUUGAAUAGUACGCUCUGACUGUCCAUCAAUUUGUGGAUGAAAAGCUGUACUAAAGUUCAACUUGGUGCCUAAGGUAUUUUGCAAGCUAGUCCAAAACUUAGAAGUAAACCGGGAAUCUCUAUCUGAGACUAUGGACAUAAAUACUCCCCAACUUGUCCAUCGAGUAGAUGGUCUUGAAAGGUAAGAAAUGAGCAUAUUUUGUAAGUCGAUCAACAACCACCCAAACACCAUCAUGUCCUUUCUGAGUACGUGGAAGUCCCGCUACAAAAUCCAUGGUGAUGUGCUCCCACUUCCACUCAGGAAUAGGAAGCGGCUGAGAACACCCUACAGGCCUUUGGUGUUCAGCCUUAAUCUGCUGACAGACUAAACAUCGAGAAAUAAAUUCUGCUAUCUCUCUCUUUAUACCCUGCCACCAGUAAUGAUCCCUUAGGGUACGAUACAUCUUCGUACUACCAGGAUGCAUCGCAUAUGCUGAACAUGGAGCUUCUUCCAUAAUCUCUUCUUUCAGAUCUUUAAUACCAGGUACACAGAGUCUAUUACCCAUGACUAAGACACCAUCAUUUCUCACCAUAAAAUCGGUUCGUAAACUUUUCUACACAUCAUCUUUCAACUUUAUUAAUUGUGGGUCCUGAGCUUGCAUCUGGUGAACUUUGUCAAUCAAAGUCGGCCUAACUCGAAAAUUAGCUAUCAAAGCUCCACGAUUGUCAGCGUUCAACUCGACUCCCAAAGAUCUCAACUCGAUCAACAGAGGCAUAUAUUUCACUCGCAAGUGAGCUAUAUAACUGGAAAACUUUCUACUUAGUGCAUCAACUACCACAUUUGCUUUGCCCGGAUGAUAAUCGAUAGUGCAAUCGUAGUCCGUAAUCAGCUCGAUCCAUCUCCUCUAUCUCAAAUUCAACUCCUUCUGAGUAAACAAAUACUUCAAGCUCUUAUGAUCAGUGAAAAUCUAACACGUUGCCCCAUAUAAGUAAUGCCGUCAUAUAUUGAGUGCAAACACCACUGCUGCUAGCUGUAAGUCAUGUGUUGGGUAGUUUUGUUCAUGCUUCUUAAGUUGUCUAGAAGCAUAACUUUCCCAUGCUGCAUCAAUACACAACCCAAUCCCUGCCUAGAGGCAUCGCUGUAAACCACAAAUCCUUCAUUACCAGAUGGAAGUGUAAGAGCUGGUGCUGAGGUCAAACGUGUCUUAAGUUCUUGAAAACUUUUUUCACAGUCAUCAUCCCACUGGAACUUAGCAUUCUUUCUAGUUAACUGUGUCAAAGGAGUAGCAAUUUUGGAGAAUCCCUCCACAAAUCUACAUAAUAAUAAGCCAAUCCAAGAAAACUCCGAACCUCUGUGACAUUUGUAGGCCGUUCCCAUUUCACAACUGCUUCAAUCUUUUGAGGAUCAACAUAACUGCCUUCAGCUAAUAUCACAUGGCCCAAAAAUACUACUCUGGCCAACCAGAACUCGCAUUUGCUGAACUUGGCAUACAAUUGCUUCUGUCUCAAAGUCUGUAAAAUAGUCCACAAAUGCUCUGCGUGCACCUCCUCACUUCGGGAAUAAACCAAGAUAUCAUCAAUGAAUACAAUCACAAACCGAUCCAAGUAUGGGCGAAAUACCCUAUUCAUCAGGUCCACAAAAGCAGCUGGGGCAUUUGUCAAUCCAAAUGGCAUCACUAAGAACUCAUAGUGCCCAUAAUGGGUUCUAAAUGCUGUUUUAGGAACGUCGACAUCUUUAAUUCUAAGUUGAUGGUAACCCGAGCGCAAAUCGAUCUUAGAAAAUACUUUUACCCAUUGAAGUUGAUCAAACAAGUCAUCAAUACACAGAAGUGGAUACUUAUUGCGUACCGUAACUUUAUUCAACUGCCUGUAGUCGAUGCAGAGUCUAAAAGUCCUAUCAUUUUUCUUAACAAACAAGACUGGAGCUCCCCACGGGGAUACACUAGGUCUAAUAAACCCUUUCUCCACCAACUCUUGCAAUUGAACCUUCAGUUCCUUCAAUUCUGCUGGAGCCAUUCUGUACGGUGCCAUAGAUAUUGGAGAUGUUCCAAGGACUAAGUCAAUAGAAAACUCAACUUCUCUGUUAGGUGGCAUCCUAGGAAGUUCAUUUGGAAAUACAUCUGGAAAUUCUUUAACUACUGUAAUAUCCUCCAAUCUCAAUUCUCGAGCGUCUGUAUCUAUCACAUGAGCUAAUAAGUUGAGCAUCAUUUUCUUAGCAACCGUCUUGCACUAAUAGCAGAUAUAACACAUGAGGGUAGAACUUUGCACUCCCCACAAAAUUUCACCUCAGCUUUCCUUGACUUUUUAAACAACUUCUUUUGUGAAACAAUCCACCGUAGCAUGAUGAGAUUCAAGCCAAUCCAUGCCAAAAUAGCAUUAAAGUCAUAAAUAUCUAAGGAAAUCAAAUUCGCCUCAAAUUCAUGUUCACCCAUUCUAAUCAUACAAUCUCGAUACACACUCUCAGCAAGUAAUGACUCUCCGGUAGGUGUACGAACAACUAAAUUGCAAUCUAGCAGUUCGGGCUCUCGCCCUAAGUGCAUAGCAAAAGUACGAGAAACAAAAGAGUGUGUGGAUCCAGGAUCAAUAAGAAUAUGAGCCUCGCGGCCAAGGAUAGAUAAUAUACCUAUAAUAACUUCUGGUGCAGCACGUGCCUCCCGCUGCGUCAAAGCAAAAACUCGAGCCUGAGUAUGAGGUCGACCAGGCUGACCUCUUUGACCUGGAGCAAUCGUCUGACUCCUAAAGGUAGAUGUAGAACCUCCUGUCUGCACUCCUUUCUGACCCCGAGUCUGGCCAGAGUAAGGCUGAUACCGUGAGGCUGUCCCUCUUGCAGAGCUAUCACCCUGAGAUAAAGUAAGGCAAAAUCUCUUAAUGUGUCAAGGAUGACCACACAAAUAACAAACUCUGUCUCUAACACGACAUUGGCCCUGAUGAUUCCUGCCACAUGAAGGGCAAGAAGUCUGCUGAAAACUCCUAGAACGAUAAUCACGAUAUCCCCCACCACUGCGGUCGUAUUGUCCUUAAUUCCUGAAAUUACUCCCCACUGAUGGUUGCACAGAGCUAUGAUUGACAGCCUGUCUCGAGUCUCCCCUGAAGCCUAUACUCUGACUCCUUUGCAUACUAUCAGAAUAACUCGUAGGAAUACCCCCUCUCUUGGGCGGCCUACUACUAGAGUCACCCUCUACCCAACUCUGGCUAUGCUUCUGCUUCAGUGCAUGAAAUCUACGUCCUUCUGAAAUACUGUGCUCUACUCUCCUGGCUGCCUCAACUACCUCUCCAAACUCAGUAUAUCGUGAUGCAGUCACGGUGGUGCGAAUCUCAAAUCGGAGGCCAUCCUCGAACCGUCUCCAUCUCUCUCUCUCAUCACCGACUACAAAUGUAGCAAAUCUAGAGAGGUCUAAAAAUUUCUUCUCAUACUCCUCAACUAUCAGAGAUCCUUGAACCAACCGAAAGAGUUCACUUCGUUUAAUAUCCUGAUAUACAGCAGGAAAAUAAUGAUCGUAGAAUUCCUUGCGGAAAAUGGCCCAAGUAAUCGUAGCAUGCCCCUGAUAUCGUCUCUCCACAGUCUGCCACCAAUGGUAAGCUCUAUCCUCGAGCAAGAAAGUGGCGAAAGAUAAUCUGUCAUCUUCUGAACACUUCAUCACGUCAAAAAUACGCUCCAACUUAACAAACCAUAACUCAGCCUCAGAUGGUUCUCCGGAACCAUUAAAGCUCCUCGCCCCUAAACUCCUCACUCGCUCAAUAGUGUUUGCGUUACCGACAUGCGCUUGAGUCUGAUUUUGCACAACUAUAGUCAUGAUCUGAGCCAACCUAUCAAAUGACUGCACAAUAUUUGGGGCAUUCCCCGGUGCCUGUUGUGCAAUUUCAUGCGUAGAGGAUUCAACUAUCACCUCAUUCGCAGGUUCACUUUCCCCCGCAGGUACACUACCAGAAGUCUACCCAGCUAUUGGCCUAGUAUGGCCACGACCAUGUUUACUGCUACCACGAAGCAUGAUGGUGCCUCCAAGAUAUAAAUUCUAACUUUAAUAAUAAAACUUAUUCUUAUUAAGACAUUAAAGUCUACAGAAUCUAAAACCUGGCUCUGAUACCAGCUGAAACGACCCGCCCCGAAUCCCCCCCAAGCGAGUCUAUCUAGUCUCAUCAAAACAGACUUGAUAAAAAUUCUAUUAGUAAAGAUUCUGCCGAAAAUUCGGCAGAGCCUCCUUUAUAUAUAUAACACUCCCAAUCUACAUAUAUGAAUAUAACACUCCCAAUACAAUUCAAUAUACAACAAACUCUAGUGAUCAACAUCCUUAACCAAAAUGCUAAGUUUUAUAUCUCCAGAGUCUCAAAAGAUAAUAUUAUAACUAAUAUUAAUAUCUCAGUUUAUUCUUAAUUCCAAAAGAAUAAUAUAACAAAAUUAUACAACCCCAACAGGAUGAGAUAACCAAGAUGUCCUAACAAAAACAUUUAUAUCUUCUAACACCAUCACGUGGCCAAGACUCAAAAUAUAUUUACAGUACCUGCAACCUCCUGGUGAGGGGGGAAAAAUAUAAUAAAAACGGGGUGAGUUUAAAACUCAGUGACUGGAUAGUAGUUUUGAAAAUUAAUUCUUACUUUAAAAUAAAAAAUCAUAUCAUUUUCAAACAUGAUUUCAUUAAACCAUAAGCGAGAAACCAGUAAUAAAUCAUUAAACAUUUAAAUCAGAUUACUAACCAUGGAAAUCAUAUCACAAUAUCAUAUAGAAUUCACAAAUCUGAAAAUCAUCACCAAACAAGUACCCAGGGAAAUAAUCUCGUCAUAUCCGGAC